CCAGGGGGGGGCCAGAGGGGGCCAUGGCCCCCCCUACAUUAUGCUGUGCCCCCCAGUGUGCCCCCCCAAUUGAAACGCUAUAACAUUGAACACAAUUGCAGCCGAUGCUGCUGACAGUUUCAAAGUUGCUGUAAAACCGCCUCCACUGGCUGCUUAAUGGAUUGCUGGCAUGCCAAUCACUGACUGAGGCUCUUCGUCCCGCCCUUUGAAGGGGGUGGGCUCUUACAGAACAGUUGCUUGUCACUGCCUGACAGGGAGAAGAGCAGCCUGCUGUGUUACAGUGCAAGAAUGAAGGCCAGCAAAAAAGUAUUUUAUUUUAAAUAAAUAGUGGAGGUGACAGAAGGAGGGACAUUAACAAGAUUUUGUGGUCACUUCAGAGGACAAAACAUUCUAGGCCUAGAAAUCAGUGAGAGGAAAAGUAAAGGUUUUGUGUUAUUGACUCUUAUUUCAGUCUGAAUAUAUUAUUAAACGUUAGACGUUGGUUCAGAGUUUGUAAAACUCAAUUCUUGAUUACAGUAUACAGGACGCUAUUCCCCUUUGGUUUCACAGACCAAGUGGUACUCAGCGUAGUUAUAUGCAGCUGCAUGCAUUGUGUUAUCUGUGAUGAGGCGUUCAUUUGUUCGUUUGGUGACGCAGUGCUAAGAUGGUUGUGAUGCAUUAAUGGCUAUAAGUUUUGUUGAAGUUUCCAUUAUGUUUAAUCUCCUUAAUUUAUUUGGGCCUUUUUUGAUUUCUGGGAUUUUAAUAAUGUGAUAAAAAAGAAUGAUUUACAGUUGUUUGGAUGUCAAAUAGUAUGUCAGAUUCUGUUGAUCUGUAUCUGCUAUGUUUCCAUACAUUAUUUAUGUAUAACUGCAAAUACAGGUUUUUUUUAUCUC